AUUGAACGCUGGCGGCAGGCCUAACACAUGCAAGUCGAACGAGUGGCGGACGGGUGAGUAAUGUCUGGGAAACUGCCUGAUGGAGGGGGAUAACUACUGGAAACGGUAGCUAAUACCGCAUACCAUCAGAUGUGCCCAGAUGGAAUUAGCUUGUUGGUGGGGUAACGGCUCACCAAGGCGACGAUCCCUAGCUGGUCUGAGAGGAUGACCAGCAACGAGUGAGCUGAGACUCGGUCCAAACUCCUACGGGAGGCAGAAGUGGGGAAUAUUGCACAAUGGGCGCAAGCCUGAUGCAGUCAGGCCGCGUGUAUGAAGAAGGCCUUGGGGUUGUAAAGUACUUUCAGCGUGGAGGCGUUACCCGCAGAAGAGGCACCGGCUAACUCCGUGCCAGCAGCCGCGGUAAUAC
rnacentral:rRNA from 1 species